CUACUCUACUCAGGAGGCUGAGGUGGGAGGAUGGCUUGAGCCCAGGAGGCAGAGGUUGCAGUGAGCCUAGAUUGUGUCACAGUACUCCAGCCUGGGCGAUAAAAUCAGACCUUGGGAAAAAAAAAAAAAGAAAAAAAGAACGAAAGAAACAAAGGGAAAGAAAGAAGAAAGAGUAUAGGGCAGUUCUUUGAGAGAUGAUGGGGAAAUACUGGGAAAGACAAGUCUCAAGUGCUUCAUAGAAUGA
rnacentral:lncRNA from 1 species